rnacentral:lncRNA from 1 species
GUAGAGAAAGAAGCGUGGUGCAGUGGCCAGCAGCUCAGGUGAAGGCGUAUGGGUGCAUGGGCGGACGGGUCUGGAGUUCGAGCCUCAUCUCGUGCAGGAAAGGCCUGGUUUCUGCUGCACGCAUGGGGAAGGAGUUUGGGUCUGACCAGGACUCUUGGCAGCAUGUUGAAGUGGUGCAAGCAGGUGGAUAAGGCCACUAAUUGGUUGGGAGUUUGAAUGAAAUUCAAACUUCGAAUUUGGCCAAAAAUCAAGGAGCAAAUUAGGGAAUUGGAAUUUAAAAAGAAUUAUUAUGCCGAAAUACAUUUAUUCAGCCAUAACUAGUAAGUGUCGUAUAGGAU